UCUACGUUAGCUACGAGGAUAAAAUGUCGAUAAUAUCGAUAGAUGGUAAAUUGUUGUAGGAAACUAUAAUACCGACGAACGUUCAACUAUAAAGCUGAAUCAUUUUUUCCACAGGAGGGAAGCACAAGAUCGAACUAUGAGAUGUUACUACCCUUCGCGUGAACUGCGAAAUACAUGGAUGAGAGGGAUGAAGUAGAAGCAGGGAGAUUAAUCGACGACGAUCUUCGAUGGAAGUGGGGGUGGUGAUUGUAAUAGUGGUGGCAGUAAUAUCGGUGGUGGUAGUACUGGUACUAGUAGUCGUAGUCAUAGUGGUGGUAGUGCUGGUAGUAAUAGUAUUAGUGGUGGUAGUAGUAACAGUGGUGGUGAAGGUGGCGUCGAGAGCUCCCUAUGACGUCAUAUCUCUGGACUGUAGAAACAACAUCUCGAAAGGAUGGAAGCUAGUCGAGAGGCACGCCGUGUUCCUUCUUUUUAUUCUCGAGGACGUGAUAACGGCCGUGUUAAGUGGUAACUGUGGACGUUUAAUCAGACACACGGGAACGACAAUAACAUUUUUGUCGAGAACAACGACGACGAUUACGACGACGACGAUAACAACAAAGAAGAAGAAGAAAAAAAAGAAGAAGAAGAAGAAGAAGAAAAUGAGGAGGACGAUGAUGACGACGACGAUGACAGUCAACGAGUUCGUAUGAAGUGACCGUUGAAGAGUUAUAAGAAAAUAAAAAAAAAAUAAAUAAAUAAAAGAGAAAAUGAAAGGAGAAAAAUAUAGUGGCUCGUUUUCUUCAUUAUCACGUUCAUCUGAUAUUAUUAAUCGUCGUUGUUGUUAGCCACUCAAUUGCUCCCUCGCUCUCAUUCACUCGGCUAACAACCGGCUCGACUACUGUCGUCGCGAAGGAGCCAUCGAGGACAAGCAACAAGCGUUCUCGAGCGGCGCGCGAGACCGGGCAUCGAUUUAGCCGGGAAAACAUGACACUGAGAGACCGACGACUAAGCUAUCGCUUUUCCACGGAACGCCGUCCUUCUUCUGGACGUACGAUAACGUGCGAAAACCAGCUAGACGGCACGGAUGUACAUAGGAAAGCGAGGGACACGGCACGCCUGUAGAUACCGAUAUGCCGGACUAGAGCGUGAGAUGGACAGUGGGUAGUGCGCUAUAAAAAAAAGAAAAGAG